rnacentral:piRNA from 1 species
UAGUCCUUAGGGUACUUAGCACCAUGA